GACGAACGCUGGCGGCGUGCUUAACACAUGCAAGUCGAACGGAAAGGCCCUGCUUUUGUGGGGUGCUCGAGUGGCAAACGGGUGAGUAACACGUGAGUAACCUGCCCUUCACUUUGGUAUAACUUCAGGAAACUGGGGCUAAUACCGGAUAGGAUCUCCUGCUGCAUGGUGGGGGUUGGAAAUUUUCGGCGGUUGGGGAUGGACGCGCGGCUUAUCAGCUUGUUGGUGGGGUAGUGGCAUACCAAGGCUUUGACGGGUAGCCGGCCUGAGAGGGUGACCGGCCACAUUGGGACUACGAGACGGACCAGACUGCUACGGGAGGCAGCAGUGGGGAAUAUUGUACAAUGGGCGGGAGCCUGAUGCAGCAACGCCGCGUGCGGGAUGACGGCUUUCGGGUUGUAAACCGCUUUCGCCUGUGACGAAGCGUGAGUGACGGUAAUGGGUAAAGAAGCACCGGCUAACUACGUG
rnacentral:rRNA from 1 species